GAUCAUGGCUCAGGAUGAACGCUAGCUACAGGCUUAACACAUGCAAGUCGAGGGGAAACGACAUCGAAAGCUUGUCUUUUUGUAUGGGCGUCGACCGGCGCACGGGUGAGUAACGCGUAUCCAACCUGCCCAUCACUUGGGAAUAACCUUGCGAAAGUAAGACUAAUGCCCAAUGAUAUCCCACGAAGGCAUCCGAAUGGGAUUAAAGAUUUAUCGGUGAUGGAUGGGGAUGCGU
rnacentral:rRNA from 1 species